rnacentral:tRNA from 1 species
UGGGGUGUCGCCAAGCGGUAAGGCACCGGACUUUGACUCCGGCAUGCGCAGGUUCGAAUCCUGCCACCCCAGCCA